GUGUUUUAAAGCUGAUCUCUCUGUCUACCUCCCAGCAGUGAAGGCUGAGGGUCGCUGCAGGAGCUAAAGUCCUUGUUGAAGUCUCUGCUCCAGAGCCUCUCACAGAGGUGAGAACAGCCAGCCUCU